rnacentral:tRNA from 1 species
GCUGAAGCCGGCCGGGUGCCACCAGGCGCGCACGUCCAGCGUGCGGCGAUCGCCGCGAUCGGUGAUGGUGAAGCUCAGCCGCCCCAGCCCCGGCGCC